rnacentral:misc_RNA from 1 species
ACUGAAGGCGACAGGAAUAAGACCUUGAUGACAGACUAGGAUUGGACCACCGAGCUAGUGUGCGAAUCUACUGAAGAUAUGGAUCGCCUUAUUAGGAGCUCUGGUAAUAAGAUCCUUUAAAAAACUUAUUUCUAAAGUCCCUUAGAAACUUUAAGAGUGAUUUGUAAAAUUGUAAAGAUUUGAAAAAUGACUUGAGAUCGGGUCCUAGUUGAAAUAACUUAUUAGUAUCGAGACAAUUAUUUAGAGAUCGGAUAAUACAUUAACUUAGUUAAGAAAUGUUUGAACAAUUCGAGAGAGAUACCUGAUCACAAAACUAACCAAAGUUUGAAAUUUUGAAGUAUUUAAACACAACGAGAUUGGAAAACACAAAAUGUAAGAUCGGAUGAUCGGAAGAUCGGACAUCGAUAUGAACAGGUCGAAUAAAGAUAAAAAAAGAUUGGGAAAAUACCCUAACUUGAGCGCAAACUUGGGAUUUGUUAUUUGUCUGGGAAAUAUCUUGGACUAUUACCAGUUCAAAGAAAAUGAUCUGUAGCUGGAUAAUCAGUUGAGAUCGGAUGACAUUAAGAUAGGAGAUCCAGUCAAGAAAGUAUUAAAACUAAAUUACGAAUUUAAAAGAAAAUUAUAUAUUAAUUACACAAGUUAUGCAUUUGAGUGUCGACUAAAAUAUGGUGUCUACAGUAGUUUUAAGCUUAAAUAAAUAAAAUGUUUGCAUAGAACUUGAUGGAUGAUUGUACAAGUAGGAGAAUGCUUGAUGCUUAUGUAUAUAAAAAUUUACUGUAUUUUCCUCUUUUUGUUAAUAUAGAAGUCUAGUGUGCUGCCUUAAAAAAACAGUCUACUAUGCUUUAGUGGAUGGCAAACAAUAGAAUACAAGAGAUGUAUUAUACUUGUUCCGAUGGAAACAAAUGAUGAAUAGCUAUCAGAUAGGAGCAAAGUAAUAUGACAAAAUCUAUUUGUAUUUGAACAACUAUACUUUUUUAACACACCA